GUCUACGUAGCUCAGCUGGAUAGAGCACACGCCUUCUAAGCGUGCGGUCGAGGGUUCGAGUCCCCCCGUGGACGCCA
rnacentral:tRNA from 2 species